rnacentral:rRNA from 1 species
AAUAGCGUAUAUUAAAGUUGUUGCGGUUAAAAAGCUCGUAGUUGGAUCUCAGUUCAUGCUACCGGGUCCACUUGCCUGUGGUUACUCGGUAGCUGAAUAUUUUACCGAGUUGUCUCUUGAUGCUCUUCACCGGGUGUCUUGAGCGACCGGUACGUUUACUUUGAAAAAAUUAGAGUGCUCAAAGCAGGCAUAUCGCCUGAAUAAUCUUGCAUGGAAUAAUGGAAUAGGACCUCGGUUCUAUUUUGUUGGUUUUCGGAAUCUGAGGUAAUGAUUAAGAGGGACAGACGGGGGCAUUCGUAUUGCGGCGCUAGAGGUGAAAUUCUUGGACCGUCGCAAGACGAACUACAGCGAAAGCAUUUGCCAAGAAUGUUU